GGGGAUAUAGCUCAGUUGGUAGAGUACUUGCCUUGCAUGCACAAGGCCCUGGGUUCAAUCCCCAGCACCCCCC
rnacentral:tRNA from 1 species